rnacentral:rRNA from 1 species
AGUGGCGGACGGGUGAGUAACACGUAGGUAACCUGCCCCGGAGCGGGGGAUAACAUUUGGAAACAGAUGCUAAUACCGCAUAACAACAAAAGCCACAUGGCUUUUGUUUGAAAGAUGGCCUUGGCUAUCACUCUGGGAUGGACCUGCGGUGCAUUAGCUAGUUGGUAAGGUAACGGCUUACCAAGGCGAUGAUGCAUAGCCGAGUUGAGAGACUGAUCGGCCACAAUGGAACUGAGACACGGUCCAUACUCCUACGGGAGGCAGCAGUAGGGAAUCUUCCACAAUGGGCGCAAGCCUGAUGGAGCAACACCGCGUGAGUGAAGAAGGGUUUCGGCUCGUAAAGCUCUGUUGUUGGAGAAGAACGUGCGUGAGAGUAACUGUUCACGCAGUGACGGUAUCCAACCAGAAAGUCACGGCUAACUACGUGCCAGCAGCCGCGGUAAUACGUAGGUGGCAAGCGUUAUCCGGAUUUAUUGGGCGUAAAGCGAGCGCAGGCGGUUGCUUANGUCUGAUGUGAAAGCCUUCGGCUUAACCGAAGAAGUGCAUCGGAAACCGGCCGACUUGAGUGCAGAAAAGGACAGUGGAACUCCAUGUGUAGCGGUGGAAUGCGUA